rnacentral:lncRNA from 1 species
GGAGGUAGAAACACAUGAAAGGAGCUGCACCAUCAUCUGUCUGCCAGGGGAGUGGACCUGUCCACAGGAGCAAGAAAAUGGAAAUAAUUCCAUCCAGCCUGGGAUCUAUAAGAGCAACUAAAGGGGAUGAAAAUGAUCUAACACACCGGUCUGGCACCCAUCAAAGGAAAAUAGGUGUAGCUGUUGCUGCAAGAGGAGGAGAAAUUAAUUCCUACCCAAUGGUCCCAACCCAGAGCAGGCCUUUGAAUCCGCUGGGAGUCCCACAUGAAGUACAUGAAAGGCUGCCAGGGACCAGCCCCCCAAGGAUAAAUCCAGAAGUUUAGAAGAGGAAAAAUUGAAGUUUUAUUGAAACCAGUACGUUUAUACCGGCACACACAGCUGAAGAGAAGGCCCAGAAUGAUAAGUAGUAGAUAGGAUCAGAUCGCAAUGUAAACUUGCAACAAAUUUCAGAUAAAUACAUGGUUUAUAUACAAAGAAAUGCUCCUAUAAAACGGUAGGGAGCUUCAUUAUCACAGCUUCAGAAUUGAAAGUGUAAUUGUUUAUCUGUUUUUUUUUUUUUUCUUAUGAAAUGUAAUUUCCUGAUGGACGUAGGGGAACUCUUCACUCUGAUUUUUAUAAUUGUUUAUUUUCUAAUUAGUUUUUUUUCAAUUUAAUUAGCUUUCCCAAAUCACUUUCGGCACUCUGAGUGUGUUUUUG